GAUGAACGCUGGCGGCGUGCCUAAUACAUGCAAGUCGAACGAACAGACGAUGCGUUCGCGCUGCUCGCGUUAGCGACGGACGGGUGAGUAACACGUGGAUAACCUCCCUCUUUGACUUAGAUAACUUCGGGUAGGCGGAGCAAUUACCAGGUAAUAUCUUGAAGCGGAUGGGUCAAUAGUGUAAGACGGUUUUGGUAUCACUUAUCGACGGAUCAGCGUCGCAGUAGCGAGAUGGUAAGGUAACGCCUUACCAAGGCAACGAUGUGUAGCCGGCCUGGGAGGGUGAUCGGCCAGACUGGAACGAAGACACGGUCCAGACUCCUACGCGGGGCAGCAGUCGGCAAUCGGCAGCAAUGGGCGAAAGCGUGACAGAGCAACGAGGCGGGUGCGACGAAGGUGUUCGGAUCGUAAAGCUCUGUGAUUAGGAAAGAACAAAUGGGUAUGUAAAUAUGCUCGUCGUGACGGUACCUAAAGAGAAAGCCACGGCUAACUACGUG
rnacentral:rRNA from 1 species